rnacentral:rRNA from 1 species
GAUGAACGCUGGCUACAGGCUUAACACAUGCAAGUCGUGGGGAAACGGCAUUAUGUGCUUGCACAUUCUGGACGUCGACCGGCGCACGGGUGAGUAUCGCGUAUCCACCUGCCCCUUACUUGGGGAUACCCCGUUGAAAGACGGCCUAAUACCCGAUGUGUUUCAUUGACGGCGUCCUAUUUGAAACAAAGGUUUUUCCGGUAAGGGAGGGGGAUGCGUCUGAUGGCUUGUUGGCGGGGCAACGGCUCAUAAGGGACGAUAGUAGGGGUCGGAGAGUGAGGCCCCCGAUUGGAACUGAAAACGGUGCAACGCCUCGGGAGUGAGUGUUAGGAUAUUGGGUGUUGUGGAAGUUUAUGCUUUUAGUGUGUUGAGGGUGUGGGGUGCUUGGGUGGUUUGGCCUUAUUGGGAGGAAUGGGUUUGGUGGGCUUUGGUUGUUCUGUUGAUUUGGUCGCUUUUUCUUGAUCUACAGUUUUUAGGGAGUUUAUUGUUUGUUUUUUGUUGUUUAUAGUGUGUUUGGUGUUGUGUUUGUUUUUGUUUUUGGAUUGUCUUUUGGUGUGUUUGAAUUUGAUGGUGGUGUGGGGAUAGCGUGUGUGUGUGUUUUCGUUCUGGUAGAUCUGGGGGUGUGUUGGUGUUGGGUGUUUGUGGGUGUUGGUGUGUUGUGUGAUGUUAAUUUGAUUGCCUGGUGU